AUUUAUUUGAAAGUCAGAGUUACACAGAGAGGAGAGGCAGAGAGAGAGGUCUUCCAUCUGAUGGUUCACUCCCCAGGUGGCUGCAACAGCCGGUGCUGCGCCAAUCUAAAGCCAGGAGCCAGGAGCUUCUUCCAGGUAUCCCACACAGGUGCAGGGGCCCAAGGCCUUGGGCCAUCCUCCACUGCUUUCCCAGGUGCAUUAGCAGAGAGGUAGAUUGGAAGUGGAGCAGCUAGGACUAGAACCAGUGCCCAUAUGGGAUGCCAGUGCUGCAGGCCGGGGUUUUAACCUGCUGUGCCACAGCGCUGGCCCUUGCACUGGCUCUUUAAUGAAACACCCACUCAUGCUUUUUUCCUCAUUUUUCUCCACUUGACACAUUUUCUUAUUGUAGGUUUGAAAGAGCACAUGAUGCAGAGGUUAUGGCUGUUUAUGCUUUUGUGAUUUGAUGGAACUAGGAACUACUGGUGCACAUGUCAUCAAAUAAUCAAAAAGGCCUCUUCCUUCCAAGAGUCAAGCAUCUAACUGCGUUACCCUUUAACACCACAUCGAUCAGGAUUCCAGUAACUGCUGAAACACAGCAGACAGCAGAGACCCCAAUCCUGAGGCUUCAGUUGUCUACCAUCUCCUAGACUCAAUCUACGAAGAGUUAUGUCUGGAAUACAGGUGAGAUUUCCCCAGGCGCCUUUCCAACAUCUGCUCAACCCAAACUACUCCUCUGACCUGCUCUGUGACGAGCGAUGCAAUACGUUCCGGACCACCAAGCCAUUCCUUCACUGUUUGCUCCUGCAGGCCUCGUCUAAGGAGCUGCUGGAGUCAGUAUGCCACCCCUGACACACAGUAGCUUCUGUGUGUUGAAUGCGGCUGCGUCAGUAUACAUUUGUCUCUCAGAUUCCUACAGAAGGAUUCUGCUUCCUUCAAUCGUCAACUACAGUGUGCUUUCUUCUUCUGAGGCUUAUCUGUGCCUGGAGGGUUUGGUAAAACUCACCUGUAAAAACCACCUUGUGAAGGGACAGUUCUUUGAUAACUUUUAAUUCCUUCCAUGGUAACUGGUCUAGUCACGUUUUCUUCUUCAGUCAAUUUUGAUAAUUUAUAUUUGCCUAUAAAAUGAUCCAUUCCAUCAAUAUGUUCAAUUUGUUAGCACAGAGUAAAUCCAGAGUUCAAAUAAAAAUUGCGUAUGAUUA